UACGAAGGGGGGCUAGCGUUGUUCGGAAUCACUGGGCGUAAAGCGCACGUAGGCGGAUCUUUAAGUCAGGGGUGAAAUCCCGAGGCUCAACCUCGGAACUGCCUUUGAUACUGGGGAUCUCGAGUCCGGGAGAGGUGAGUGGAACUGCGAGUGUAGAGGUGAAAUUCGUAGAUAUUCGCAAGAACACCAGUGGCGAAGGCGGCUCACUGGCCCGAUACUGACGCUGAGGCACGAAAGCGUGGGGAGCAAACAGGG
rnacentral:rRNA from 1 species